GGAGAGAUGCUCGAGUGGUUGAAGAGGCACGCCUGGAAAGCGUGUAUACGCCUAAAGCGUAUCCGGGGUUCGAAUCCCCGUCUCUCCGC
rnacentral:tRNA from 1 species